CAGUAGCCGCGGUAAUACGUAGGGUGCAAGCGUUAAUCGGAAUUACUGGGCGUAAAGCGUGCGCAGGCGGUUUGUUAAGACAGAUGUGAAAUCCCCGGGCUCAACCUGGGAACUGCAUUUGUGACUGGCAAGCUAGAGUCUGGCAGAGGGGGGUGGAAUUCCGCGUGUAGCAGUGAAAUGCGUAGAUAUGCGGAGGAACACCGAUGGCGAAGGCAGCCCCCUGGGCCAACACUGACGCUCAUGCACGAAAGCGUGGGGAGCAAACAGGAUUAGAUACCCCUGUAGUCCCUGUCUCUUAUAU
rnacentral:rRNA from 1 species